rnacentral:rRNA from 1 species
CCUACGGGGGGCUGCAGUGGGGAAUAUUGGGCAAUGGGCGCAAGCCUGACCCAGCAACGCCGCGUGAAGGACGAAGGCUCUCGGGUUGUAAACUUCUUUUAUCAGGGACGAAGCAAGUGACGGUACCUGAUGAAUAAGCCACGGCUAACUACGUGCCAGCAGCCGCGGUCAUACGUAGGUGGCAAGCGUUAUCCGGAUUUACUGGGUGUAAAGGGCGUGUAGGCGGGAAAGCAAGUCAGAUUUGAAAACCAUGGGCGCAACCUGUGGACUGCAUUUGAAACUGUUUUUCUUGAGUACUGGAGAGGCAGACGGAAUUCCUAGUGUAGCGGUGAAAUGCGUAGAUAUUAGGAGGAACACCAGUGGCGAAGGCGGUCUGCUGGACAGCAACUGACGCUGAGGCGCGAAAGCGUGGGGAGCAAACAGGAUUAGAUACCCCUGUAGUC